GGUGGUGUUAAUAAUAAACUCUCAGGCCUGGUCCGUGCCACUGAGGCGAACUGCUCUUUGAAUUGCUGCUCACAGUGGUGUAGCACUGACUGUGGGAUGUUGGCAGCUCGUUCCCUGCAUAUGCAGGACUCAGCCAUAUGCCACCGACACCAUAUUCUUGUACCACCCCUCCCCAGUAGGCUGGAGCACUGUAAUUACACCGCUUCUGGUCAAGUUGGGCAACUUUUCAAGGAAAGAGUAUACGUGGAAGUACUUCACUUAAUACCUUUGUUUACGCAUCUUUAUGUCCAAUGCACAAACACCACCGGCAACGAAGCUCAGGAAAAAGACCUUCGACAAACAGCUGCUAAUGGUGAAGCACAGGGAUUCGGAAAGCACUGACUCCAGGCAUUGUGUGCUGCUGUUUACUUGACAAGCCAGUGCAGACACUGCUUCCUCUUCAGCUCUCUUCUGUUUUGCAGUCGGGAACACGCAACACUCUGCCAGCUUUGCUGCAUUCGCCUUUUCCUCAUCCUGUGUUUAACCUAUCGGGAUGUACAGCUUUUCUCCAGUCUUAAUUCCAAGAGAACAAAGCUCAAAAGUGUCUAAAAUUAGAAGUGUAAGCAAUCGUUGCUACAGAAAUAGGAGAGGAAAUAUCAGAGGAGCAAUGCCUCUCGACUCUGGUAACAAACACCAUGCUCUGGUCCCCUCACGUCAGCAAUAGUAUGGUAUGCUUCUAAAAACAUCACAUUUAAAAUAUAUGAAGUUACCAACAGAUUUAUAGAUUUCUUUUUUCCCAAGCAUGAAUAACUCAGACUAAAGGGCAGCUCUUUAUUUCUGAUCUCAAUUUUCCAAGCCACGUCAAAUGCAAAUGAUUGUUUACGCACCUCCUGGGCCAUCCUAUUGCUGUGCUGCUUUUUGCCUCUGAGAAGUAAUUCAUGUUUUUCUUCACAAGGACCAAAAGAAAACCUGCAAAGGCGGUUGGGGGCCAAAGAGAUGCAUGUGAGGCAGUGUCCCCCCCAGCAGCUGCACAUGACAAUCCUAUUGCACCAUGUUGGAGCGCAUUGCUCGGCUUGCCAGGAAGGGGAGAAGCAAAGAACACUCGGUACUACGUGCGGAGCCACCACAGAUCUGCUCUGCCUCUUACACCAGGCAUUGGCCUGAGGGAUGCAGGCAUUUGGGGAGGAUGCAAAACCUCAUGCAAAGUCUGCCUGAUUGCAUCUGCGCACUGAGUGCAGAUACCUUCGGGAGCGGCUGUUUGUGUUCACUCCAUGUUCUGUGUGCUACAACUGCGGGGCAUUUGGGACCUGUUCUUCCUGACCAUGGGGGCAGGACCUGCCUCCACCCCCAGCAGCUGCUGCAAAUAUAAUGAAGUAGCAACACACAGUAAGGCACAACUCAAGGGAGCAACCUCCCCCAAAAUACAACAACUUCUUACUUAAUUGCUAUUGUCUUCCUAGAUGCAACCAACAGGCACUAAGGAUUCUGGUUUCCUACUUCCCAAAACUUUGUAAUUAGCUUUGGAGUUGGAAGACGACCUACAAAGUGAGUGGGAAUGUGGUUUUAGGGAGGUGGAGAACAGCAGCGCGGAGGGGCCCAGCUGCAGCAUCUGCAUUCUCCCAGGCUCUCCCCCAGGACACGCACGUCCCAGGGUGACGUUUCCGCUGGCAGGGAGCAGCGGUGCCUUUUGGAGGGCAACACAUCAAUAGGAUCGCCCCGAUUCAAAACCAAAUCCAGUGGCAAGCGUUCCUAUCCCACAACACAGCUGCUCCCAUUCAUAAAGCCAGAGGACGGCUGCUGCAAGCGCCGCUAUGGGGCUGGGGCUGACACCGUGCCGAACCGGGCAGUCCCCUCGCGAGCCCACACAAGCAGCUCCUCCACCUCUCUCCUCCGACACCGGCCGAGCCAACCCAUAGCGUGUGCCCGGCGCCUGCGUGUCCCCGCUGUCCCCACGGCCGGGGGGGUGAGGGGGG
rnacentral:lncRNA from 1 species